GGCGCUGUGGCAUAGUGGGUAAAGCCCCGGCCUGCAGUGCCAGCAUCCCAUAUGGGCGCUGGUUCGAGACCUGUCUGCUCCA
rnacentral:tRNA from 1 species